CACUCCUACGGGAGGCAGCAGUGGGGAAUAUUGGACAAUGGGCGCAAGCCUGAUCCAGCCAUGCCGCGUGAGUGAUGAAGGCCCUAGGGUUGUAAAGCUCUUUCACCGGUGAAGAUAAUGACGGUAACCGGAGAAGAAGCCCCGGCUAACUUCGUGCCAGCAGCCGCGGUAAUACGAAGGGGGCUAGCGUUGUUCGGAUUUACUGGGCGUAAAGCGCACGUAGGCGGACUAUUAAGUCAGGAGUGAAAUCCCGGGGCUCAACCCCGGAACUGCCUUUGAUACUGGUAGUCUUGAGUUCGAGAGAGGUGAGUGGAAUUCCGAGUGUAGAGGUGAAAUUCGUAGAUAUUCGGAGGAACACCAGUGGCGAAGGCGGCUCACUGGCUCGAUACUGACGCUGAGGUGCGAAAGCGUGGGGAGCAAACAGGAUUAGAUACCCUUGUAGUCCCA
rnacentral:rRNA from 1 species